GGGGUGGUAGUUCAACUGGUUAGAGCACCGGCCUGUCACGCCGGAAGUUGCGAGUUCGAUCCUCGUCCAUCCCG
rnacentral:tRNA from 1 species